GUGUCCAUUGUUAGAACAAGAAAGCUGAAGUCUGGCUCAGUGAACAGAAGAAGAUUGGUUCCUUAAAUACCGGUACGAGCCACUGAGGAGGCUAUCUUCCAUUUAAUUGUGCUUUUGAAAGGUGUUUCAACCUACCCUGUGUCUUUCUAAGAUGUUGGAGUUCACAGCCCUUGCCAGCUCUUGUUCAGCAGAGGCUACAUGCAUCCAGAGGCAUCUUCUCAAUCCCACCACAGAGGAGAGAAGGAAUUGGAGACCUGUUCUUUAUUUUCUUCUCACUACAUAUAGGACUUUCAAAUCAG